AUGGGAUGUCUGGCCCCUGAUCUCUUUGUGUCUAUGCAAAGGGUGUAAGUGGCAGAAAGAGAAACUGCGACGUUGUGUGCAUCCUACAGCUGGGAAAAACAUAGGCUGGAUCCACUUUCCCUACAUAUUCAUUAGAAACAGGGAUAUUACAAAUUGAUUUUAAGUGUUGAUGAAAAGGAGCCUAUACAACGUGGGGACAUCUUAGAUUGAAUUAGCUGUUUGUUUGAAAAAGGGAACAGGUCAAGUUGUGAAAGCACCAGAGGAGGCGAAAUCGGCAUACAAGUGUUCACAAUCCUCUCUAGCUGGUGUAAUCAACAAUAUGUCCGGCAGUGGGGACGACAGAAACGAUUUUGAACAUCGUUCUAUGAUGCAAGACGAGGAUGACCUGGACGAGGAGUUGUCAGAAAAUGAUGCCCCAAAGGUGAAAAAGAAGAAGAAAGCCAAAAAAAGUAGCCGCGAGAGCAAAGGCAGCAAGAGGAAUCGCUCCCGGAGAGAGGAUAUCGGCAUCAGUUCUCCGGAGCCAGUGGAAGGCCCU